rnacentral:lncRNA from 1 species
CAGUCGUCAAUCUAGCGACUCUACCGCCCAGCAAGCAACUGAACUCGCUAAUCAGAGACUAAGACGGACACGAGCUCAGUCGUGCCAUAAGGAAAAGACAAAGGAAGAAGAUGAAAUCAGGUCAAAUUUACACUCAUUUGAACACUACCAAACUAAUAGUAGAAGUUGAAGAAGAAGCGGACAACCAAAAUAAAUAAAAAAACUAAAGUGAUAAGAGAUCAACAAACACACAAAUUACAUGAAAAAAUAGAAAAGGAAUAAGGGAAAGACCCUGUUAAUUCGGAAUUCUUUCACUAAUAACUAAAAAUUUCAAUGUUUUGCUUCAUAAUCCCACUGAGACAGUAACAAUAUCAAGUAAAAAUUGCAAACCAAAAUCCAAAUCGCGAAAACAAUAACACGGACGGAACUCAACCAACACCGGAAUUCCAAUCCCAAACGCAAACUCCAAUAUAGACUUUAAUCCAACUCCAUUCUUGAGAACCAGAACUCGAAAAAUGCUGAAUUUUUUUAUUUUUAUUUUUUUUUAUUGCUUUUGAAAUGAAGUAAAGCUAAAACAAAAUCAAUCAAAAUCAAACUUGAUUUUUCCUUUCCUCUUCAGAUUCUUUUUUUUCUGUAUCCCUAAAAAUCAGAAGAAGAAAAAUAUUCGAAAAUCAAAAGUAAGACUUUAUAUUUUUUCUUUUCUCUCCAAAAAAAUUUUUGACCCCUAAAGAAAAUUCUAUUCCCUCUUUUUAUAUCUCUUACCUCCAGAUUCCUCCUCUCUCUUCAAAAAAAUGGAUAAGGCCGUUCUGAAAACGAGCACACGAUGAAUGUGAGGCUCGGAUUGAACGAGAUCGAUUUGACGCCUCUCACUCAUCCAACACACGUCUUCUAGAGCCUUCUAAUCGCAUGAAAUAGCUUGUAGACAAGCGAGUGAGGGAGUGUUAUUGUCGAUUUGGAAUAUUCUUCUGUCAGAGACCGUUGGGGUUUGGUGAUGUAGAACAGGGAUUGAGACGGGGUGGACAUGUGCGGAUUUUAGAGGUGAACUCACGUGAAACUCGAACGAGUUUGGGAGAGUUUGGGUGAGGCAUACUCGGAGCUGGUGUGGGAUGCCAUUUUGGUUGUGAUGGGAUUA